CUCCGAAUGGUGUAGUUGGUUUAUCACGUCGCACUGUAAUUGUGCCCUGAGCAAACAUGUUCAGGACAGUAACCAUUAUGCGAAGGUCCCUAGUUCGAUUCUGGGUUCGGAGA